GGACCUUAUACACUAUAAAUAGGUAAAAUCGUAUUUUACUUUUCAUUCAAAAUAAAAAGAAAAAUAUGGUUAAAAUUAUCAAAUUUGUUUAUUUUAUGACUCUAUUUCUUUCCAUGCUUCUUGUCACGACAAAAGAGGACGGGUCUGUUGAAUGUAUAGCCAAUAUCGAUUGUCCACAAAUUUUUAUGCUACCUUUUGUUAUGAGGUGCAUCAAUUUCCGUUGUCAAAUCGUUAACUCUGAAGAUACAUAAUACUAGACUUGAGAGUGUAUAAGAUUUGUGCAAUGUACCUUAGACUAGAACAUUUAAUAAGAGGUCCUAAUGUAUUAGCAUCCAAUAAUUGCAUUUUUUUCUAUUUAUAUUUGUAAACCCAUUAUCAAGUUUUUUACUAUUUAUAUAAAAGAACAAUUUACUCUUUCACG